rnacentral:rRNA from 1 species
UACGGAGGGUGCGAGCGUUGCUCGGAAUUAUUGGGCGUAAAGCGUACGCAGGCGGCGCCGCAAGUCGGGUGUGAAAGCCCGGGGCUCAACCCCGGAAAUGCGCCCGAAACUGCGGUGCUUGAGUGCGGGAGAGGGAAGCGGAAUCCGUGGUGUAGAGGUGAAAUUCGUAGAUAUCACGGGGAACACCGGUGGCGAAAGCGGCUUCCUGGCCCGAUACUGACGCUCAUGUACGAAAGCGUGGGGAGCAAACAGG